rnacentral:rRNA from 1 species
GACGAACGCUGGCGGCGUGCCUAACACAUGCAAGUCGAACGGAGAACUUAUGGAAUGCGACUUCGGUCAAAUGAAGUUUGUACUUAGUGGCGGACGGGUGAGUAACACGUGAGCAACCUGCCUUUCAGAGGGGAAUAACGGCUGGAAACGGUCGCUAAUACCGCAUAACGUACAUUUAAGGCAUCUUAGAUGUACCAAAGAUUUUAUCGCUGAAAGAUGGGCUCGCGUCUGAUUAGAUAGUUGGUGAGGUAACGGCUCACCAAGUCGACGAUCAGUAGCCGGACUGAGAGGUUGAACGGCCACAUUGGGACUGAGACACGGCCCAG